UUGGGUUACGGCGAUAUGGUACCGGCAACGGUGAUGGGAAAAAUCGUUGGUGGUGUCUGUUCGUUGAGCGGUGUACUGGUCAUUGCAUUGCCAGUUCCAGUACGUUCCAGUCAAU
rfam:Syphacia muris strain Valencia genome assembly, scaffold: SMTV_scaffold0001060